GACGAAGGAUGCAAGCGUUAUCCGGAUUCAUUGGGUUUAAAGGGAGCGUAGGUGGCCUUAUAAGUCGGUGGUGAAAUCUCUGGGCUUAACCCAGAAAUUGCCAUUGAUACUGUAGGGCUUGAGUAUAGUUGCCGUUGGCGGAAUAUGACAUGUAGUGGUGAAAUACAUAGAGAUGUCAUAGAACACCGAUUGCGAAGGCAGCUAACGAAACUAUAACUGACACUGAGGCUCGAAAGUGCGGGGAUCAAACAGG
rnacentral:rRNA from 1 species